rnacentral:rRNA from 1 species
GACGAACGCUGGCGGCGUGCUUAACACAUGCAAGUCGAACGGAAAGGCCCUGCUUUUGUGGGGUGCUCGAGUGGCGAACGGGUGAGUAACACGUGAGUAACCUGCCCUUGACUUUGGGAUAACUUCAGGAAACUGGGGCUAAUACCGGAUAGGAGCUCCUGCUGCAUGGUGGGGGUUGGAAAGUUUCGGCGAUUGGGGAUGGAGUCGCCGCUUAUCAGCUUGUUGGUGGGGUAGUGGCUUACCAAGGCUUUGACGGGUAGCCGGCCUGAGAGGGUGACCGGCCACAUUGGGACUGAGAUACGGCCCAGACUCCUACGGGAGGCAGCAGUGGGGAAUAUUGCACAAUGGGCGGAAGCCUGAUGCAGCAACGCCGCGUGCGGGAUGACGGCCUUCGGGUUGUAAACCGCUUUCGCCUGUGACGAAGCGUGAGUGACGGUAAUGGGUAAAGAAGCACCGGCUAACUACGUG